GGUUAGUCAAGCGGUAAAGACGCUGGCCUUUCACGCCAGAAGCACGGGUUCGACUCCCGUAC
rnacentral:tRNA from 1 species